GUUCAAUCAAAUUUAUUUUUAUUACUUCGAUGUAAUAUUUCUAUUAGUAAAUAGAUAGGCAAACAAAUAUAAAACACUAAUGAAGGAUACACCACCUCGCAUUAAAAAUAUACAUCCUCAUAACCUUUAAUAUUAUCACAAUAAUGUCAAUCACCAUGUGGAAGAUUGAGCCGAUGCAUUGGUACGAGAAUCCAAACGCAGACGACAAAGACCUAUGCGCCGAUGGAGUUGUUUGUAUCAAUCUCGAUUUAAAAACAACGAAGCUGCGAAAUGACAGCAAAGAUAACGAAAACCAUACUGUCGUAGCAACUGGAGUCCUAAUCAGCAAAUUCCAAGUCCUCACAUCUUUCAACGCCUUUAGAAAAUUGACACGUGACAAAAAUAAAAUGAGAUCUAUCGCAGUUGGAGCGUUAAAAGAGCGUGUUUACAAUAAGUCUAAUAUAUUCUACAAUGUAUCAUACCAUCACAUUGUAUGCGGUAGACAAGUUAUUCCGAUGAGAGAUAGUGAUAUAAAAACAGACAAUUGGCAUGGUAAGGAUCAUCUGCACAGUCCCUUGCACGAUUUGAUGGUAUUACGACUCGAAAGGAACUACACAUUGCGGAAUAAAGACAAAGAUUUAUACGUAAGAGUUGAAACUGGGCAAGACACUGCGAGAAUGAAAUCCGGACCAUUGUUAACUGUUCUUGCUAAAACUAAUGAAGUUCUUGGAAGGGAUAUUAAAAUAGUAUCCAUAGGGCAUGAGACUGACAAACAUAUUUACAAAAAUUUUCAGUUGCUUCGACAUGAUUACGAUUCAGAAGAUAAUGUAGUAGUUGAUUGCGAUCAAUGGAUUCCUAGGCAAUGGGGACACUUUAUAUGCCUGAGAAAUGUUAAUGAUUUUGAAGCCAUAGCGUCUGGUGCUGCUCUGUUCUACAAUUCAACAUUGUAUGGCAUUGGAAGCUUUGCGUUGCGAAAAGGAAAGAAGGGUAUUUUAGUUUUCACUGACGUGCGGCCGUACUACGGUUUGAUAAAUGAAACUUGCUCGACGAAGGAUCAGAUAUAAAUAUACUUAUUGUUUUUAAUUUUUGUAUUAUAUUCAACUAAAAUAAACGCUUGCUGGACGUAA